UCCCAGGUGGCUCAGUGGUAGAGAAUCCACCUGCAAAUGCAGAAGACACAGGUUCGAUCCCUGAUCUGGGAA
rnacentral:tRNA from 1 species